GAAGGGACCUAGCGUAGUUCGGAAUUACUGGGCUUAAAGAGUUCGUAGGUGGUUAAAAAAGUUGGGGGUGAAAUCCCAGAGCUUAACUCUGGAACUGCCAUCAAAACUUUUUAGCUAGAGUAUGAUAGAGGAAAGUAGAAUUUCUAGUGUAGAGGUGAAAUUCGUAGAUAUUAGAAAGAAUACCAAUUGCGAAGGCAGCUUUCUGGAUCAUUACUGACACUGAGGAACGAAAGCAUGGGUAGCGAAGAGGAUUAGAUACCCUCGUAGUCCAUGCCGUAAACGAUGUGUGCUAGACGUUGGAAAUUUAUUUUCAGUGUCGCAGCGAAAGCGUUAAGCACACCGCCUGGGGAGUACGACCGCAAGGUUAAAACUCAAAUGAAUUGACGGGGACCCGCACAAGCAGUGGAGCAUAUGGUUUAAUUCGAAGAUACGCGCAGAACCUUACCAACACUUGACAUGUUCGUCGCGACUUUAAGAAAUUAAAGUUUUCGGUUCGGCCGGACGAAACACAGGUGCUGCAUGGCUGUCGUCAGCUCGUGUCGUGAGAUGUUGGGUUAAGUCCCGCAACGAGCGCAACCCUUACUUUUAGUUGCCACCAUUUAGUUGAGCACUCUGAAAGAACUGCCAGUGAUAAGCUGGAGGAAGGUGGGGAUGACGUCAAGUCCUCAUGGCCCUUACGUGUUGGGCUACACACGUGCUACAAUGGCACUUACAAUAGAAGCAAAGAGGCGACUCCAAGCAAAUCCUAAAAAAGUGCCUCAGUUCGGAUUGUACUCUGCAACUCGAGUACAUGAAGCUGGAAUUGCUAGUAAUCGCGGAUCAGCGCGCCGCGGUGAAUACGUUCCCGGGUCUU
rnacentral:rRNA from 1 species